CCUACGGGAGGCAGCAGUGAGGAAUAUUGGUCAAUAGGCGCUAGCCUGAACCAGCCAAGUAGCGUGAAGGAUGACUGCCCUAUGGGUUGCAAACUUCUUUUGACAGGGAAGAGUAGAAGACGGUACCUGUCGAAUAAGCCACGGCUAACUACGUGCCAGCAGCCGCGGUAAUACGUAGGUGGCAAGCGUUGUCCGGAUUUACUGGGUGUAAAGGGCGUGUAGCCGGGUUGACAAGUCAGAUGUGAAAUCCUGCGGCUUAACCGCAGAACUGCAUUUGAAACUGUUGAUCUUGAGUACUGGAGAGGCAGACGGAAUUCCUAGUGUAGCGGUGAAAUGCGUAGAUAUAACUUAGAACCCCGAUAGCGAAGGCAGCUUACCAGACUGUUACUGACGCUGAAGCACGAGAGCGUGGGUAGCGAACAGGAUUAGAUACCCUUGUAGUC
rnacentral:rRNA from 1 species